rnacentral:rRNA from 1 species
GAUGAACGCUGGCGGCGUGCCUAAUACAUGCAAGUCGAGCGAACGGACGAGAAGCUUGCUUCUCUGAUGUUAGCGGCGGACGGGUGAGUAACACGUGGAUAACCUACCUAUAAGACUGGGAUAACUUCGGGAAACCGGGGCUAAUACCGGAUAAUAUUUUGAACCGCAUGGUUCAAAAGUGAAAGACGGUCUUGCUGUCACUUAUAGAUGGAUCCGCGCUGCAUUAGCUAGUUGGUAAGGUAACGGCUUACCAAGGCAACGAUGCAUAGCCGACCUGAGAGGGUGAUCGGCCACACUGGAACUGAGACACGGUCCAGACUCCUACGGGAGGCAGCAGUAGGGAAUCUUCCGCAAUGGGCGAAAGCCUGACGGAGCAACGCCGCGUGAGCGAUGAAGGUCUUCGGAUCGUAAAACUCUGUUAUUAGGGAAGAACAUAUGUGUAAGUAACUGUGCACAUCUUGACGGUACCUAAUCAGAAAGCCACGGCUAACUACGUGCCAGCAGCCGCGGUAAUACGUAGGUGGCAAGCGUUAUCCGGAAUUAUUGGGCGUAAAGCGCGCGUAGGCGGUUUUUUAAGUCUGAUGUGAAAGCCCACGGCUCAACCGUGGAGGGUCAUUGGAAACUGGAAAACUUGAGUGCAGAAGAGGAAAGUGGAAUUCCAUGUGUAGCGGUGAAAUGCGCAGAGAUAUGGAGGAACACCAGUGGCGAAGGCGACUUUCUGGUCUGUAACUGACGCUGAUGUGCGAAAGCGUGGGGAUCAAACAGGAUUAGAUACCCUGGUAGUCCACGCCGUAAACGAUGAGUGCUAAGUGUUAGGGGGUUUCCGCCCCUUAGUGCUGCAGCUAACGCGUUAAGCACUCCGCCUGGGGAGUACGACCGCAAGGUUGAAACUCAAAGGAAUUGACGGGGACCCGCACAAGCGGUGGAGCAUGUGGUUUAAUUCGAAGCAACGCGAAGAACCUUACCAAAUCUUGACAUCCUUUGACAACUCUAGAGAUAGAGCCUUCCCCUUCGGGGGACAAAGUGACAGGUGGUGCAUGGUUGUCGUCAGCUCGUGUCGUGAGAUGUUGGGUUAAGUCCCGCAACGAGCGCAACCCUUAAGCUUAGUUGCCAUCAUUAAGUUGGGCACUCUAAGUUGACUGCCGGUGACAAACCGGAGGAAGGUGGGGAUGACGUCAAAUCAUCAUGCCCCUUAUGAUUUGGGCUACACACGUGCUACAAUGGACAAUACAAAGGGCAGCGAAACCGCGAGGUCAAGCAAAUCCCAUAAAGUUGUUCUCAGUUCGGAUUGUAGUCUGCAACUCGACUACAUGAAGCUGGAAUCGCUAGUAAUCGUAGAUCAGCAUGCUACGGUGAAUACGUUCCCGGGUCU